AUGACGGUUGACAAGGAAAAACAUGAUGCUAAGAAAAGCACAGACGACUCAAAUAAGGAUGGAACGGAAACUGAACAAAAGGGCACAAUGGAGAAAGGGGGCAAAGAUAGCGAUUCCGUCAACAAAGCCAUCGAACACCUGUACAACGCUGUAUACAAGCGAUGGACAAAGAGAGAAAUGGAUGAGCUUUUCAUUACAACAGACAAGUUUGAUCUCAAUCUAGGCCAUGUCGCCAAAAGCUUCAAGGUCGGAAAAUCAGUACGCACCGAAGCAAUCGAGCCCAUGCUAACAAUCUUGAGAAAACAACUCAAUGGCACACGGAGAAAGAUUCUGUCAUUAAGCAACACUUUCCUUCUACCAUUUUCGUUGUGCGGGUUUGAGCAAGACGAAACUAUAAGUCAUUACUUCACCAUCACAGUUAACAUGCAAAAACAGCGCUUUGAACUCCUCGACUCUUCAACUGCAUAUCCAGGCACGAUAGAAUUCUUCAACAAUGUAACUAGCAAAUUAAUGAAAAUCUGGAAGCACAUAAGCACAGAGCUACAGCUUUCAGAAAAAAGCAUCGACCAUUUCAAAAAGGUCAAACUGCAGGUGCCACUUCAAGGAGAAGACACAAUGGACUGCGCAUUCUAUAUGUACAUGAACCUGAAGCACUACUCCAAUGAUGGAAUAGCGGCAACCUUAAAGCCAGAACAAGUACCAAAGUUGAGGAAAAAAAUUCUAUAUCAACUAAUCAGUCAACACAGAGGGAAUACCAAACUGUCACUAAUCAAGAGUACAACAGAUAUGCUGAAGUAUGAAGUAGAUAUGGAAUACAAAGAAAUGCAACAGGCAAAAUGUUGCGUACUAGAAGAGUUUCCGCCAACUCCCGAGCCAAAAGAACAUAUUAUGCGUGCGACAACCACAAAAGAGCAUUAA
rnacentral:rRNA from 1 species